rnacentral:lncRNA from 1 species
GUGUUUGCGCCUGAAUGCUGGUGUGCGUGGGCAGUGUGUUGUUUGUGUGCUGGGGUAGGAGGAUGCCAGCCUCCUGUGUGAAUCGCUGUUCAGGGGCCUGAAUGUAGGAGGCGUUUGUGGGCAUGUACCUGUGAGUGUUUGCCUCGAUAGGGGUGUGUGGGUGUGUGUGUGUGUGUGUGUGUGCGCGUGCGCGCACACGAGCUCGCACACGUGUGACAAGCAGGCCUCCCUCUGGGCCUGGCUGCUGUCCCCUAAACCGGUAAACAAAUCUCUAACAACAAUCAUAAUAACAAUAAAUAAUAAAUAACAAUAAAAACAGUAGUUAACAGUCCCUCCCUAGCAGAAUAACAAUAAAAUGCAAGAGGGGCUAUUUUGAGAAGGGCACAGGGGAAGGAGUCAUGAUCACAGCAACUGAGGAAAGACAGGAAAGGAAGUUAGCUUCUUCCUCUGCCCUUGAGGGGCUGGGUUUGGGAACCCCCUCUCCGAUGAGGUCCUCCGGCCAGAGGAGGAGAGGGAGAGCCGGGAGGCCGCUCUGUCCUGCUUGUCUUUCUCAGCUUUUGCUUUGUGCGAUCAGGGGAGGAACCCCACGCAGGGGAACGGUUAGUGGCUUUGGGGUCUCUUUGGUGGCCCUGUUUGAAGGAGGAGGCAGGCCAAGGGUGCAGGGUCAGGCCCAGGGGCAGAAAGGGAUGAGGCGAUGACCACAGUCGGGGAUCCAGGCCCGGCAAGCGGCAGAGGUGCCGGAGAGGACCAGCCGCCGGGCAGAGAUCGAAGCAGAAAAACAUUUAUGGCCGCGCGCCCGAAAGCGGGGAGCAAGGCCGGGGCUCUGGUAGCCCUGGGAAGGUUGCCUUCCUGAGGUCUUUAAAAAAGAGGAGAGAGAGCGAGAGAGAGAGAGAGAGAGAAGGGAGGGGUUGGGGCGCCUUGAAUUUUCCUUCCCGGGCUUGGAGCGCAGCGCAUUUCUGUAAAGGAAGAGAAGAGCACCGUCCUGGAUCUUUCCACGUCCGCCUCAUUCUAUCCAGGCCUCUCCCCUUGCCCGAGCUCUCAGCCGCCACCAGGAGACUGACACGGAAGGGGCUUCUGGGCCGCCCCCCACCAACUCCUGCCUGGUUUCCCAAACUUCAGCGACCUCCAGCCCUCUUUGGGUGGAAAAUAGCAGGGCCCAGGCACCUCUUCUUCUUGUCAUUUGUGACCCGUGCUCUCAUCAGGAAUAUCUUACAAAGAAGGAGAGGAAGAAAGUGGAAAAGAAUCCCGUGCACGCAGGCAUCUCCUACUUUUUCCCCACUAAGCGCCCCGUCUGGAGAUGCGGCUGAAACUCUGAUUAUUUCCCCCCAUUACAUGGAUGAGGAAGUGGAGGCCUCUCGCUGGGGAAGUGAUUUGUUUAAGGCAACUAGGAGCAGAGAGCUCUGACAAGAAUUCCGGCAGUCCGACUCCCACCCAGGGUUCUUCUCAUUGGACCGUGCAUAAACAUGAACCUCAUGCAGCCAUAAAAUAGAGAAUUUGUGAAUAAAUACCUAUCCGAUUAAUGAAAUUACCGAGGC